ACGCUGGCGGCGUGCUUAACACAUGCAAGUCGAACGAGAGUUAGAUCAAAUGAGUUUUCGGACGAGUGAGAUUUAACGAAAGUGGCGAACGGGUGAGUAACACGUGAGCAACCUGCCUUACACAGGGGGAUAGCCAUUGGAAACGGUGAUUAAUACCCCAUAAGACCACAAUACCGCAUGGUAAAAGGGUAAAAGGGAUACCGGUGUAAGAUGGGCUCGCGUCUGAUUAGCUAGUUGGUGGGGUAAAGGCCUACCAAGGCGACGAUCAGUAGCCGGUCUGAGAGGAUGAACGGCCACAUUGGAACUGAGACACGGUCCAAACUCCUACGGGAGGCAGCAGUGGGGAAUAUUGCACAAUGGGGGAAACCCUGAUGCAGCGACGCCGCGUGAGCGAAGAAGGCUUUCGAGUCGUAAAGCUCUGUCCUAUGAGAAGAUAAUGACGGUAUCAUAGGAGGAAGCCCGGCUAAA
rnacentral:rRNA from 1 species